rnacentral:lncRNA from 1 species
GUCGACCACCUCCUGGUGCUGCCGUCGUCAACCACCUCGCCGUAGACCACGAAGCCGUAGUACUGGAGGGAAGGAGGAGAAGAGGAGGGAGCGCAGCGCGAGCAGCUGCCCGCCAUCGAGUUGAGGGUCGGCCGCCGCCGUCUGCACCUGUCCGUCGUCAACCACCUCCUCGCCGUCUUGCUGCUGUCGAUCAGAGAUGACCACGAAGCUGGAGGAGGGGGAGGAUGUGCCUGCACCUGCACGCCGUCUCCCCUGCACCUGUUCGAUCUCCUAUGUCCUCUCCUCUGUUUUAUCCUAUCUCUGACCGAGGUAUUCAGUGCCAAAUUUUUCAACAAUUAGUACUGAAUUUUUAGCAGUUCACACUGAUCUAUUGAGUGUUGAAUACACCAUUGUUAGCAGUUGGUACUGAAUUCCAAAAUUUUCUUUUAUCAUCUUUCAUCCAUUCUUCAGCUUGUCAUUGUAAACCUAUUGCAAAACUUGCUUACUUACUGUCGAUUCCAUCCUCUUUCGAAACAAAGAUUCUAAAUGUUCAAAAUUUGUCUUAUAUAUGCUGUAUUCUUGGUCCAUUUGCUUUACAGAAUAUAAAAGGACGACUAAACAGUGGCUAAACAGAGCCAAAAACCUCCCAGCGCACUCCCAGGAUACAUAUACAGUCGGUCCAGUCGGUCCUCUCGGUCUUGACCGAGCUUUGCUGCAGCCGGUCCGGUCCUGAAAAUAUGGACCGCCAGCCACUUCGGUCCGGUCCGGACCGGACCAGCCGCGGCCGGUCCAAAGCAUGGCUCGGUCAGGGACCGGACCGGACCGGACCGCGUCCACCCUG